UUGGAGGGCAAGUCUGGUGCCAGCAGCCGCGGUAAUUCCAGCUCCAAUAGCGUAUAUUAAAGUUGUUGCAGUUAAAAAGCUCGUAGUUGAAUUUCGGGGUUAGUAGGUUGGUCAUGCCUCUGGUAUGUACUGGUCUCACUGAUUCCUCCUUCCUGAUGAACCUUAAUGCCAUUAAUUUGGUGUUUUGGGAAAUUUGGACUGUUACUUUGAAAAAAUUAGAGUGUUUAAAGCAAGCUAACGCUUGAAUACAUUAGCAUGGAAUAAUGAAAUAGGACGUUCGAUCCUAUUUUGUUGGUUUCUAGGAUUGACGUAAUGAUUAAUAGGGAUAGUUGGGGGCAUUAGUAUUCAAUUGUCAGAGGUGAAAUUCUUGGAUUUAUUGAAGACUAACUACCGCGAAAGCAUUUGCCAAGGAUGUUUUCAUUAAUCAAGAACGAAAGUUAGGGGAUCGAAGACGAUCAGAUACCGUCGUAGUCUUAACCAUAAACUAUGCCGACUAGGGAUCGGAUGAUGUUAAUUUUUUAAUGACUCAUUCGGCGCCUUACGGGAAAC
rnacentral:rRNA from 1 species